rnacentral:rRNA from 1 species
UUGGAGGGCAAGUCUGGUGCCAGCAGCCGCGGUAAUUCCAGCUCCAAUAGCGUAUAUUAAAGUUGUUGCAGUUAAAAAGCUCGUAGUUGAAUUUCGGGAUUAGUACGUCGGUCGUGCCUUAGGUACGUACUGGUGUUACUGGUUCCUACCUUCUGACGAACCAUCAUGUCAUUAAUUUGGUGUGGUGGGGAAUCAGGACUGUUACUUUGAAAAAAUUAGAGUGUUUAAAGCAGGCUCGCGCUUGAAUACAUUAGCAUGGAAUAAUGAAAUAGGACGUUGAUCCUAUUUUGUUGGUUUCUAGGAUUGACGUAAUGAUUAAUAGGGAUAGUUGGGGGCAUUAGUAUUCAAUUGUCAGAGGUGAAAUUCUUGGAUUUAUUGAAGACUAACUACUGCGAAAGCAUUUGCCAAGGAUGCUUUCAUUAAUCAAGAACGAAAGUUAGGGGAUCGAAGACCAUCAGAUACCGUCGUAGUCUUAACCAUAAACUAUGCCGACUAGGGAUCGGAUGAUGUUAUUUUUAAUGACUCAUUCGGCACCUUACGGGAAAC